UAGGACCAUGGGAGGUUGGAGGGUGUCCCUAUCUACUAUCUAGCGAAACCACAGCCAAGGGAACGGGCUUGGGAGAAUCAGCGGGGAAAGAAGACCCUGUUGAGCUUGACUCUAGUCUGGCAUUGUAAGGAGACAUGAGAGGUGUAGCAUAAGUGGGAGAUCGUUCGCGGUCGUCGCUGAAAAACCACUACUUUCAUUGUUUCAUUACUUACUCGGUUGGGCGGAAGCGGUGCGCGGUCGAUUUUAUCGGCGGGCGCACGGUGUUUCGUUCCAAGCGUGCAGAGUGGCGACGUGGCGGCAACGCUCGUCGCCGUACAACUCCCGCGUGAUCCGGUUCGAGGACACUGCCAGGCGGGGAGUUUGACUGNGGCUUUUGGUGAGCGCAGAUGGCGCUCAACCUGUAACGUUAGGUUGGGGCAACGAGCACAAGGGCACCACUUAGGUACGAACCUCGGCUUGGGCUAUUGCCAGGUUGGGAGGAUCGAACAGAACGCCCCGGAACAUGCUUGUACCGGUUUAGGCGAAGGUACAGAAGGUACUUAGAAGGUUCUUCGACCUCGCCGGCGAGGUCGGUGUAAGGGUGUAGUGUUUUCUCUGUCUUGAGUGGAUGACGUCACUACCGCAUUAGCGGCAGUGAUAGGGUCAUCGGGAUCACCAAGAACGUGGCUUGGUCUACGGAGGGACUAGCCACUACAGCUUCUACUCCGCGCUUGGCCAUCACCUGAACUAGACUGCCUCGAGCCAGCGGAGUCAAGACUGCGCCUACGUCGUUUGCUUGUAUUUGGAUUACACAUAAAAACAAUUUCUAAAAAAAAAUGAAUACAUAGAACAAAAAUCAAGAAAUAUAUUUUAAAAACAAAUGAUGAUGUACCUGUUUGCCCUUGUUUUUACUUUUACCUUUCUCCUUAAAUGGCCUUUGUCGAAAGGACGACGUGUUUACAUCCCACUUCUGAGCUAAAAGCUCUAGAAGUAAAAGGCUGAUAUAUGUAUAUUGAACACUUGGUUUAUUAUAGUACAACUUCUCCUAGUCCAGUAUUAUAACCUUCCUCCUUGAGAGUUGUUACUUAUGCCCCAGUACUUCGCUUGCACUCUUUUAUAAUGCGCAACAAACAACACCCAGAGUCAAACGAAGUACUGGUGUCAUUGCAAAAUAAAAAUAAAAUUAAAAUAACCGUUUCCCAAAAUAAAUAAAUAAAUAAUUAUUUAACUUAAUAAAAAAAGUAUUUAUGUUUAGGAUCUGAACUGACAGUGACUUCCCUUUGAGUCAUAAAUAAAACUUGGUACGCUGUCAGUUCAGUUACUUUAUCCUUCGAUGUCGGCUCUUCCUAUCAUUGCGAAGCAAAAUUCGCCAAGCGUUGGAUUGUUCACCCAUCAAAAGGGAACGUGAGCUGGGUUUAGACCGUCGUGAGACAGGUUAGUUUUACCCUACUGAUGGCUUGUCGUUGCGAUAGUAAUAGGUACUGCUCAGUACGAGAGGAACCGCAGCUUCGGACAUUUGGUUCAUGCACUCGGCCGAGCGGCCGGUGGUGCGAAGCUACCAUCCGCGGGAUUAUGCCUGAACGCCUCUAAGGCCGAAGCCAGCCUAGCCGAAUCCGGCAAGGAUAUGCUCACUGUGGAGCCCCGAGAGUCGGGAGGCUCUAAACAAUGUGACUUUACUAGUUGCGCUUUACUUCGUAAGGUGUGACGUCGAAGUCCAUUUGGACCACGGAGAUCGGUGCGUACGGUUUAACACGUGCACCACGGCUCCAAAGGUCUGGAUUUAACUCAGUUCGAUGUCGGGGCUCGGAAUAGUCUGUAGACGACUUACGUUCCUGGCAGGGUGUUGUGCUCGGUAGAGCAGCGUCGUGCUGCGAUCUGUUGAGACUCAGCCCUACGCCAGGUGAUUC
rfam:Operophtera brumata OBRT01_Sc03265, whole genome shotgun sequence.